UACGUAGGGGGCUAGCGUUAUCCGGAAUUACUGGGCGUAAAGGGUGCGUAGGUGGUUUCUUAAGUCAGAGGUGAAAGGCUACGGCUCAACCGUAGUAAGCCUUUGAAACUGAGAAACUUGAGUGCAGGAGAGGAGAGUAGAAUUCCUAGUGUAGCGGUGAAAUGCGUAGAUAUUAGGAGGAAUACCAGUUGCGAAGGCGGCUCUCUGGACUGUAACUGACACUGAGGCACGAAAGCGUGGGGAGCAAACAGGAUUAGAUACCCCUGUAGUCCCUGAG
rnacentral:rRNA from 1 species